AACGAACGCUGGCGGCAUGCCUAACACAUGCAAGUCGAACGAGACCGUCGGGUCUAGUGGCGCACGGGUGCGUAACGCGUGGGAACCUGCCCUUAGGUUCGGAAUAACUCCCCGAAAGGGGUGCUAAUACCGGAUAAUGUCUUCGGACCAAAGAUUUAUCGCCUUAGGAUGGGCCCGCGUUGGAUUAGCUAGUUGGUAGGGUAAUAGCCUACCAAGGCGACGAUCCAUAGCUGGUCUGAGAGGAUGAUCAGCCACACUGGGACUGAGGCACGGCCCAGACUCCUACGGGAGGCAGCAGUGGGGAAUAUUAGACAAUGGGCGAAAGCCUGAUCCAGCAAUGCCGCGUGAGUGAUGAAGGCCUUAGGGUUGUAAAGCUCUUUUACCCGGGAUGAUAAUGACAGUACCGGGAGAAUAAGCUCCGGCUAACUCCGUG
rnacentral:rRNA from 1 species